CACGCAUAGGGAAAAAAGAACGACGGAAAGAACGGCUCUCCCCCAGCCGCGACUCGGCUCCGAUCGUUCAUGUUUAUGAGCCAUUCAAAAGAAUCGGCUCGUUCGCGAACGUCACAACUCUAGUUUUCAUGGUCAAAAUGAGAGAGCAGGUGGCCGAUUUUAAAAUAAAUCAAUAUUGAAUUUUUUAUAGAGCGUUAAAGUUUUGCGAAGCCAGGGGGCGGGACUACUUGAUUGACAGUCUGGUCUGGAAUGAUUGACAGGUCCUAUGGAGGAGGCAGCAGAGACUCUGUUCUCCUCGUUUGGAUUAAUUCUGAUAUAAUAACUGUUGGUUUAUUUGUCAGUGGAGCAGCAGAACAUUUUCCACAGACAGUUUUUCUGCCCGUUGGCUUGUUAUAACCAGUUUUCUGCCUUCGGCUGAUUCUACCAGCAGACACAAAGGACUCUGAUUGUUCGAGUGAAAGUAGCAGUUCCUCCUGAAGGUCAGAGAUUGCAGCAUCUGAGGGCCUCUUCAAAAGAAGAUGUAGUUGAUGAAGACGUUCUGGAGCAGGACCAGAAAGACCACGACCAAGCAGCCUUGAGAUCUUAGACAGCGUCUCCCUCAGGUCCCUCUCUAUCUCCCCACACAUCCACCAACCACUGGAACACAUCUCCAAAGUUCUGCUGGACCAGCUCAGCUUCCCCUCAGAAGAAGUGCUGCCACCUGCCAGAUGAAGGAGCCUUUUGAGAGGCAGCUGGCAUCGUGAUUGGACUGUACUUUGGUCUGUUCCAAUCCAGCUUCAGCUCCAGAGACGGCAGGUGGGACGAGUCAACGGAGGCCGGAUGGACGAAGGCAUGAAGCUGAGUCGAAAGAAAAAUGUGAUUUUUCAACAUGUUGUAAAAACGUGCCAUAUGAUGAAAUAAUGUAAAGGAGGCCAUGAAACUCCAGAAAGGUUUUCUUUGAAAAAAAAUCAUCAUGAAUUUUGGCGCAAAAAAACGCCAUAGUGUACUAUGUCGAAAAAAAAUGCGAUUUUUCAAACAUAUGUCGAAAAAUGUCAUUUUUCAACACUAAAUCUUAUUGAAAAAUAUGUUUUACUUAAGUCCACCUGUUGCAACCAUCUCUACACCUCAUUAGCUACCUCUCUAAGGUCCAUUAUACAACAAAAAGUCCAGUAGAUGUCACUGUGUUUUGAAAUAGCAUGCAGAGCAAGUUAGUCUGCUCACAGGAAGUUAGCACGAGCAAAAUCACUCCUCACAUGAGGCCUCUGUUUGCUGUGAUUUUCAAAAGUAAGGUAAUACUUUUGACAUAUUAUGGUGCCUAAGGAGUUGCUGAACACAAAUAUGUCAUUUGAAAUGUAAAAAAAAAGAUUUAAAAGGUUAAAAUAAUUUUUCUCAAGCAUUUGGUAGAGGUCAAUAUUUUAAAAAUCGCUGGGUUUCUUCAUAAAAAAAAAAACAUUGAUUGUUGUUAUUAGUGCCCCAAAGAGAUAAGAAAUAUAAAGAAAUAAUUUUUUCAUUGCCUUUUUCUUGGUGAGGAUUUUAAAGGGUUAACUUAACAUCUGUAAACAAAACAAAAACGUAUCAACAAAGUUUUCUGUUAAAGUUUGUGUUCUUCUAAGUUUAACUCCAAGAUUUUAAAUACUUUCAUUUACUGCAAAUGAAUAUCUACUCCAAAUGUCUCACUAAUAAUCAUUAUCAGCCUUAAAAACCCACAAAACACCCCUCUAUACUGGACCACACUUAGUACAGUCCGGUUCCCCCUUCUAUAAAUCUGCUUGGAAUCUUCCACUUCCUGUUUGUCAAAGUGGCCUUCUACCUGGACAGGUUUUGUUGGAGCUCAUGCAACAAACAUUUUGGGUAAGUGCACUUUAAUAUGGAUGGAUGACACUGAAGUCUGUUUUCAUGAGACUGAGUUAAGAUGUGUAGCUCUGUCAUUAAAUAGGAAAUUAUUUCUCAGAAUUCACAGAGAAAAGUCUGAAAUGUUUGCUAGGUUAGCGUCCCACAUGUUCUUUGGCUCAGCUAAAGCUAACUCUCUCCAACUUCUGGAUCUCUUGAGUUGCUUGUUAAAAUAUCUUGCUAGAGGUGCUGAAGCUCAGAAAGUCUGAGGUGUUUGUUCAGAAUAAGCUCAUUCUCACGUCUUAUCUAAACUGUCCUCUUUAGUUUGAACUUUCCCUAAACUUAGGAGUUAAUGACAGAGCAGCACAUCCAGACUCAGUCUCAUUUAUGUAGAGAUUAAACUUCAGUGUCAUUCAUUGAUGUUAAAGUGCAGUUUUUAAAAUGUUUGUUGCACAUGCUCCUGACCAAACCAGUCCAGGUGGAAGACGAUGUGAAGAGAAAGCUCCAGAGGAUGAAUAUCACACAUUUACGUUGGAAAUAAAUGUCCUUUAAUUAGACAUUGUCAUGCAAAAGUUGGAUUUCCCUUUAAUGAUGUUCAAAUCUUUGUUGAGUGUUUUGUUGAUGUUGUUUCUAAAUGUUUCCUGACACUCGGCCCCAAAGAUUAAAACCUUUUACGGCUCACAAGCUGCAACAAUUCACACAUUAUCAACUAUCUUUCUGACUAAACUAAGAUAAAAAGUGAAAAACUGCCUGAUUCCUGCAUCAUGAAUGUAAAUCUUUUUGGUUUUUAUGACAGUAAACUGAAUAUAUUUGGGUUUGACAUUUUAUAAACCAAAACAAGAAAUGAAUUAGUGGAGAAAACAAUCAACAGAUUAAUGGACAAAGAAAAUGUGUUUUCCAACAUAUAUGGCUGAAUUACUCCAACAUUACAAGAUACAUACAAUUUUAAUUCAAUUUUAUUUAUAUAACACCAAUUACAGGUCAAAUUGUCCCAAGAUGCUUUAUUUUUAAUUUUUUUGUCUUAUUUAAAAUAUGACAAAGUAAGAAAUUUAAAGCUCUUGACUAAUCCAAUUUAUUAUUUGGUUUUUAAGAGACUAAUUGACAAUUAAAAUAAGUUUCUCCACUAAAACUAAUAAACAUGAGGUCAAAUAGAUAGAAGAGUUUUAAAUACUGCAGUCCCACAACGACAAGAAUAAAGUUUGUCAACAAAAACUAAAUGUGCUGGUGGAUUCCAUUAAAGUCCUAAUAAAUGAUAAUAAAGUGUGAUACUAAAGGUUUGUGGUGCUAAAAAUGUCCAAGUAAAGAUAUGAAGUUGAACAUCUGGAUGGAGGUUGAUAAAUUUUUUUUUUUUUUUGUCUGCAUUUGUUCUCAUUGUUUAACUCCACAAAAGAGGUGUCAACAUUGUAUGAGACUGAUGCAUAUUUUAGUCUUGCAACCAAAUAUUUUAAUAUUUAGUGCAUGUGUGUGACCAUCACCAGCCCUCCCUGAAAGCUAAGCAGAUAUUCUUUAUUAGAAUUCCCUAUUAUGAGCCAGGGAGGGCAGUGCUACACCUCAGUGAUGUGUGGGGGAAACAAAGACUGGACAGGACGAACAGGACGAACAGGACGAACAGGGAUAGAAAAUAACAGGUGGUGCUAUUGCAAUUAAAGAUUGUAAGGUGGUGUGUUAUUCCCAACUACUAACUGUCCAUCAAUAAAACAGGAAGAAAAAUAAAUAAAUAAAUAAAUUAAAAAAAGAAAACCAACACAAAAGAAAAAGAGAUUCAAUAAAUAUAUAAACAGUACUGAGCACCAUAAUUGUGGAUGUCUUGACAGUAUAGAAUAGGAUGGAAUAGAAUAGGCCAGAAGAGGAUACCAGUGAAG